ACACAUACUGUAAAAUCAUUGAAUUUCGUGGGCCUGAAAUUUCGUUGUUAAGGUCAAAACGGCAAUUUUGUGGGGAUAUGAACUUUUUAACAUAAAAUAAAUGAAAUUAGAGAUUAAAUUUCGUGGAUUGACUCGACCACAAGAUCCACGAAAAUUAGUCCCCCAUGAAAAUUAAUGAUUUCACAGUAUAAAAAUUUAAAUCAAACCAUAUUUGUAGCAUCCCAUAAAGAGAGUGACAUCAAUUCAGAACAGUUUCAUGAAUGUAAGCAAGAUUUAUCACAAACUUCUAAUCACAUAAAUAGUUCUUCAAUCAUAUGCUAACAAGAGCUCGUAGAACACGAAAUGCCCCCCUUGAUGCAUUCAGUAAUUGCACAAGGAACAGAAAUUAUUUGUUAUUAUUAAGUUUCUUGAUCCUAAGCCCAAGCAUUCUGAAGUUAUCAUCCUGAAAUGGCUUAACUGUUCCAGGUCACUGUAACCUUGACCUUUGACCGACUGACCUCAAAAUCAAUAGGGGUCAUCUGCUGGUCAUGACCAACCUCCCUAUCAACUUUCAUAAUCCUAGGCUCAAGUGUUCUCGAGUUAUCAUCCGGAAACCAAUAGGUCUACAUACCGACCAACCAACCUACAGACCGACAUCUGCAAAACAAUAUGUGACGCGCCAUGACAUUUUGGGUCCAAAUUCGGCGUUGCGUCAUUUGAGAAAACAUCGAUUAAAGUUAUGUCACAAAAAAAAAUGGUGGACGUUACCACGUGUUCGCGGCAAUUGAUGCAUUUCUUGUUUUCAAUAAUACUCUACCUUGCCACAAGAAAAAAAUGAAGUGACAUUUAUAAACAUUUCCGUGUUUUGCAAUUCCGUUUCUUUAAAACAAUUAAAUGAUUGAUAAUUUAUCGCCCUUUGAAUCGACACGCCAUUUGUAAACAUCGAAGGUCGCGGAGAAAAUGAAACUACCAAAACAAUUAUUUGAUGAUUUAUUUCGAUUGUAUAAAGAAUGACAGUUAGCGAAUCUCAAGAUCAACCACUGAGGAUUGUUUGGCUUGAUGCAAUGACCUUAAACAGUGAAAUGAUUUUCCAGGAAGGUCUAUACACAAGCUGGAUUUUAUGGGGUGAUGAAAGAACUAUGAAUAUGUAAAUGGGAAUAAAACAGAAGGAAUUAAUAUGUUUUACUGAUCAUCCAGCUGAAAUCAUGCCUGUGGAAUAGAGUGCUUGUCACAAAUACUGAUAAGAGCAAAUAACUCCAUAUUGCACAAAUAAUGUCAUGUUUCCUGCCCUCAUGACCUGAAAAAGUUACAAAUUCUAGUUCAAAUUACAGAUGUGUUUCAAGAAAAAGUAAAGCUUAGUCAACUGUGAGAAAUAUUGGGUAAAAGUAGUGUUUUGAUGUCAUGACAGCUGUGAAGUUGUUUGAGAAGCACUAUCCUAAUUGUUCUAACAAUACAGAAUUUAACUUAUAAAAUUUCCAAAACUGCAUGCAUGAAAUAGUAAGACAUGUCUGUUGAAUGAAUCCUAGUUGUUUCAAAACUACAACAUGUGUGACAUUAAAGCACAACCUUUGGAGGAAACAUUUUUACAGUCAAAACUGCCUUGCCAGUGUGAGUGUAGGAAGGAUUUUUCCAGAAAUGGCAGAAAACUACCAAUAUAGAAGAAAAUAUUUGUUACUGGCUGAAUAUAAUAUAUUUUAUUUCAAGAAUCAAUCAUGUUAAUCCAUGGUUAUAAUUGUGUUAAAAGAUAUUUUUACAUGACAUGACCUUUGCAGAAGUAGCUAUUUUUUUGCAAAACAUUGUGAGUUGCCAUGGUAACACAAAUUUGACUUAAAUUUAGAUUUGUUUGAUUAUGUAAACAUCAUGUGUUUUGUUUAUAUUCUGCUAAUCAGACUAUGUUCUGCAAGAAAAUAUCUUUUAUGUGUAACCAUCAACAAAACAUGUCAUAACACAAAUCUGCCAUAAAAUGGCAGAGCUGUAAUGCAGGUAGGCAUAUCAGGAAAAUAUGUAGUUCUGAAAGACAAGUUAUAUUACAUAAAAUGAUGUUUGUUUUUUUAUAAAUGAUCAUAAUUGACCAUUUGUGGUGUAAAACAAAUGUAUACUGAACAGAUGCUAAAUGAAUGUUCUGAUUCUUUCUGGAAAAUUUACAAAAAAACUACUAUUUUAAGAAAAUAGUGCAUUGUUGCCAUGGUAACAUUGAUUUAACUUUUAAAUUAUUUUGGAUAUCAUCAUAUGUAAACAGCAACUUUCUUGUUUAUAUGUUAUAUAUGUUAAGCUGUAUUAUGUUAGUGAAUAUAUUUUCAUAUGUAAUAAUUGCAUCAACAAAGCACUAUGUUAUUACACAAGCCUGCCUUAAAAUGGCAAUAGUUGUAACUAAGAGAGGUGUAUCUGAAAAUUAUGUAUUUCUCAAACCAUAUUACAUUAAUUUUCACGGAAUGAUGUCUACUCUCUUACUUUUAAAUAAGAAAACAGACAGCAUUUGAUGUAAAUAUAUGAAAAAAUACUUCCAAUAUUCAAUUUAUUACAAAGAAAUUGCCAAAAAUGUUAGUAUUUUUGUAAGAAAAUACCACAUUGUUGCCAUGGUAAUGUUAGUAUUUUUGUAAGAAAAUACCACAUCGUUGCCAUGGUAAUGAUUCACUGAUCAGUAUAUCUAAGUCUUUUGAAAUUUUAGCAAACUCACAGUUGAUAAUAACAGUGUAAUAAUUAUAUCUUCUUGCCUGAUUUUCUUUCUUACUGUUUAAUAGAUAAGGUGUCUAUAAUGAUAAGAUAAAUGUCCUAGUUUUUGGGAUGUUGUCUAAUUUGAUAUCAAAUAAAUUCUGUAUCUUGUUCAAAAGAAUGUCAUAAAACAGUUGUCUGUAAACUGUUAGCACACUAGAAAAAGUUAAUUGUGUAUUUAUUUCACAUUCUAUGUAUUGUUUUUGCUAGAUUCAUCAAGAGACUGUUAAAAAAGAGGUUAAACAACAGUGUUGCUAUAGAAACGAUUUUUAGAACAUAAAUAUUUUUAUACUGCAUGAAAGAAAGAGACAAAAAGAAAUACAUUCCAUUAAUUGCAUGUUGCUUUUGUUAUUUUAUCAUGUAUUUUAUCUUGAUAUUAUUUAAAUAUGGUGUUAUUAUUAAGAUAUACUGCCUCAAUUUUGAUACAGUUAGACAAAAACAUGGUGU